UUUUUUUUUUUUUNUUUUUUUUUUUUUUUUUUUUGUCUUUUGAGCUUUUAGGGCCUCACCUGCGGCAUGUGGAGGUUCCCAGACUAGGGGUCCAAUCAGAGCUAUUGCUACCAGCCUAUGCCAGAGCUGCAGCAACACCAGAUCUGAGCCAUGUCCAUGACCCACACCACAGGUCAGGGCAACGCCAGAUCCUUAACCCACUGAGCAAAGCCAGGGAUCAAACCCACAACCUCAUGGUUCCUAGUCAGAUUCGUUUCCACUGUGCCAUGAUGGGAACCCCGAGAGUGAUUUUUUAACUCAGGUAUUAUUCCCAUCUAAACAUAUUUCAUAGUUUCAUGGUUUGUUAAAAGGGUUGCGUCAGCUGAUGUAAAUUCAGAAUAUAACAUAUAGUAAGCAUUUGAUAACUACCAGUAUUAUUAAUAAGCACUGAUUAGCAUAGUGGAUGAAGAGAAGGCCCUAGAGUCUUGGUCAGAUGACCUGGUUCCUAGUCUAAGCUCUACCCAAAAGGUCCUAGAAGUAAAGAGAAACUGAGCUGGGAAGAGCCCUUGGAAAUUUUUUCAGUAUCUAGUCCAACAACCUCACUUUCAGAAACUUAGAAAGGCAUAAGAGCCUUGAGUUUAUUAGUCAUAGCUUACACGUCCUCCCACUCAUUUAAAAAUUUUUUAUUAAAGUAGUCGAUUUACAAUAUUCCUUCAAUUUCUGCUGCACAGCAAAGUGACCCAAUCAUACAUAUAUAUAUACAUUUUUUUCCACAUACUAUCUCCCAUCAUGUUCUAUCACAAGAGAUUAGAUUGUUUCCUGCACUAUACAGUAGGAUCCCACUGCUUAUCCAUCCCUAAUGUAAUUUCUACUCAUUUUUAAAGUGAGAGUUAUAAUCACACCCCCAUCGUGACUGUUGGAAAGCCCACUCAGGUUAGUGAUCCUCAAGCUGCUGGCACAGUAUCUGGCAGCAGAGUCAGUCUUUCAUUUAUAUUAACUGGUGGUGUCACUGUUGAUUCUCAGUUUAAUUAUCUUCCUCCCCUCUGGGACUGUGAAGCUAGAGGCUAGUACUCCUGGCUUAUGGUCAUGUCCGCACCAUCUGACACAGCAAUGGGCACAUAGUAGGUGCUCAGCCAAAGUUUGUUGAGUGAGUGAAGGAAACAUUUAUCCAAAGGUAGAAUUUAAGCAAAAGUCUGAAUCAGGACCCUGUCCUAACUCGUGGGUGCGAGUUUUCCACACUAUCCACGCUGGCUUCUUCUCUUUAACUUUGUAACUUGCUUCCCGUCGCUGGGGCUCAUCUCUCUGUUCCUCACCUUGGAUGUGGUCACAUCCCUCCUGCGGUGAGCAUGUGUGUCAUCCGCGGGCCUCUUGCAGAGACCUAUGGUUGUGUGUCUGAAUGGCCACUAGGUGGCAUGAUUGU
rnacentral:lncRNA from 1 species